rnacentral:rRNA from 1 species
GACAGAGGAUGCAAGCGUUAUCCGGAUUCACUGGGUUUAAAGGGAGCGUAGGUGGCUUUGUAAGUCAGUGGUGAAAUAUUGCGGCUCAACCGCAAAACUGCCAUUGAUACUGCUUAGCUUGAAUCACGUCGAGGUGGAUGGAAUAAUACAUGUAGCGGUGAAAUGCUUAGAUAUGUAUUAGAACACCGAUUGCGAAGGCAGUUCACUAGGCGUGUAUUGACACUGAGGCUCGAAAGCGUGGGGAUCAAACAGG